AAACCAGCACCUCAAGUGGUCAGGUUAAUUAUUUGGCCUAAAGCAUCCGUAGCCUGUUCUGUAAGUUUUCGGUUAAAUCCAUCAGCUCAACUAAUGGGCUGCCGAAAAUACUGUAGAACUAGGGAGUGGGAGAGGUAGACGGUAUUCGGUAGGAAGGGGUAAAAUCCUUUGAUCUAUUGAGGACCACCUGUGGCGAAGGCGGUCUACCAGAACACGUUCGACGGUGAGGGAUGAAAGCUGGGGGAGCAAACCGGAUUAGAAACCACAGUAGUCC
rnacentral:rRNA from 1 species